rnacentral:rRNA from 1 species
CCAAUAGCGUAUAUUAAAGUUGUUGCAGUUAAAAAGCUCGUAGUUGAAUUUCGGGAUCAAUACGUCGGUCGUGCUUUCGGGUACGUACUGGCGUCAUUGGUUUCUCCUUUCUGACGAACCAUGAUGUCAUUAAUUUGGUGUUAUGGGGAGUUAGGACUGUUACUUUGAAAAAAUUAGAGUGUUUAAAGCAAGCUAACGCUUGAAUACAUUAGCAUGGAAUAAUGAAAUAGGACGUUCGAUCCUAUUUUGUUGGUUUCUAGGAUUGACGUAAUGAUUAAUAGGGAUAGUUGGGGGCAUUAGUAUUCAAUUGUCAGAGGUGAAAUUCUUGGAUUUAUUGAAGACUAACUACUGCGAAAGCAUUUGCCAAGGAUGUUUUCAUUAAUCAAGAACGAAAGUUAGGGGAUCGAAGACGAUCAGAUACCGUCGUAGUCUUAACCAUAAACUAUGCCGACUAGGGAUCGGAUGAUGUUAAUUUUUUAAUGACUCAUUCGGCGCCUUACG